UGCUUAUAAAGGAGGGGAAACUCUGCUGUAAAGAAGGGAAGGAAACCCUGCCCGAGUAGGAGCCGAAAGCAAGCCGUUGGAAGGCACGAGCCCCUUGAAAUCCGUGCAAAACAGUAACCAAAACUGCAAGGUUUGGAUACAAAAAGGUCUCGGUUUUUAUAGAACAGUCCACUUGGAGCGACGUUUGGCCGUGAAUUUGUGCAACCAAGAAGUGGGAAGCUUCGAUCUGUCAGGCUCGGGCUCAAAGGGAGAAGGCCUAGAGGCGGCGCGAGUGUAGUUAUCUUGUUUAGGCGUCUCUUAUGAUGUUGUAGUAUGUUACAAGAUUUGUACUCUUAACUUUGACAAUAUUUUGUCUCGUGGAGAAUGAAGUCUACUUUC